GAUGAAGAACGUAGCGAAAUGCGAUACGUAAUGUAAAUUGCAGAAUUCAGUGAAUCAUCGAGUCUUUGAACGCACAUUGCGCCCCCUGGUAUUCCGGGGGGCAUGCCUGUCCGAGCGUCAUUGCUGCCCUCAAGCACGGCUUGUGUGUUGGGCCUCCGUCCUCCUCCCGGGGGACGGGCCCGAAAGGCAGCGGCGGCACCGCGUCCGGUCCUCGAGCGUAUGGGGCUUCGUCACCCGCUCUUGUAGGCCCGGUCGGCGCUUGCCGACACAUCAAUCUUUUUUCCAGGUUGACCUCGGAUCAGGUAGGGAUACCCGCUGAACUUAAGCAUAUCAAUAAGCGGAGGA
rnacentral:misc_RNA from 1 species